rnacentral:rRNA from 1 species
AACGAACGUUAGCGGCGCGCUUAACACAUGCAAGUCGUGCGAGAAAGGGAGCAAUCCCCGGUAAAGCGGCGCACGGGUGAGUAACACGUAGGUAACGUGCCCCUAGGUGGUGGAUAACCUUCCGAAAGGAGGGCUAAUACAGCAUAAGACUACGGCUUCGAAAGGAGCUGAGGUCAAAGUCGGCCUCUGUUCACAAGCUCGCGCUCGUGGGAUGGGUCUGCGUCCCAUCAGCUAGUUGGUGAGGUAAUGGCUCACCAAGGCAUCGACGGGUAGCUGGUCUGAGAGGAUGACCAGCCACACUGGAACUGAGACACGGUCCAGACUCCUACGGGAGGCAGCAGUGGGGAAUCUUGCGCAAUGGGCGAAAGCCUGACGCAGCGACGCCGCGUGGGUGAUGGAAGGCCGUUCGGGUUAGUAAACGCCCUGGUGGGGAGGAACGAACCGUACGGGGGCGAACACCCUCCGUACCUGACGGUACCUCCUUAGCAAGCAUCGGCUAACUCUGUG